GUUCAAACGUCGAUUGAUGAUUCAGAUAACAUCAGCGAUUAUGAAAAUUUAGAGGUGACAUUGGCACCGAAAGAAAAGGGUAAAUCGCCCAAGGAUCUCUGUUUUACGGACGAGGCGACAGAACUGAGCACUGUCUAAGUUCCUCCUGAAUGGCUUUCAAAAUUCCAACUACCAUCGAGGUUCUCUGCCUCAGUAGAGUUGGAUACCCAGAAGGGAUAUCUCAUCAGCAGCCUAAAGUACUCUGAGCAACAAUGGAUUGCAAAAUUAUUGCAGAGUAUCCUUGUAUGGUUAGCAGGAUACUAGACUAAGUUGACUUGGAAACUGAAUGGAUUGGUAUGGUCUAAAAAUCUAUUGCUUCACCUCUUCUGCUUGUAGUGAAGAGAGACAAUUUUGUGGUGCUGAAUCUCUUGCCUUAAACUAAAAAGUUGCAAAAUAAUCACUCUCACCUUUUAAAUUCAUGACCUUUGUUCUUGUGUGUUUGUCAUCACAUGCAUUUAAUGAAGUUGUGACCAUUUUGGAGGUAUAAGUCCAAAAAACUGCUACUUUGGUACUAAGAUGAACAGCUAAAAUUUCUGAGCCCAUUUGCCAAUGAAGUCCAGAUACAAAGGUUCAAGUACU